rnacentral:rRNA from 1 species
UACGUAGGGAGCAAGCGUUGUCCGGAAUCAUUGGGCGUAAAGCGCGCGUAGGCGGCCCGAUAAGUCCGCUGUAAAAGUCAACGGCUCAACUGUUGAAAGCCGGUGGAUACUGUCGGGCUAGAGUACGGAAGAGGCAAGUGGAAUUCCUGGUGUAGCGGUGGAAUGCGUAGAGAUCCGGAAGAACACCGGAGGCGAAGGCGGCUUGCUGGACCUGGUCUGACGCUGAGGCGCGAAAGCGUGGGGAGCGAACAGG